rnacentral:lncRNA from 1 species
UAACAAUUAAUUGUUUAUGUUUAUAAACAUUGCCAUCUGUUCUUGUACAUACUGUCAUUUUCAAUUACAUUCUAUCUCUAAUACUUUUUGAGAAAAAUGCAAAUAUAAAAAUUGCCUAUAAGGGGAUAUAACUCUCAAAGGGGAUGAUGAAAUCCUAUGCAGCCUCAUAUGGUAAUACAUCAUGAUGAUAUCUACCUAUUGUCCAUAUAAGGUCAUGAUAUCUUUUAAAACAUUAAAGGGGGGCCAUGUUCAAAAAAAUCAAUAAAAGGGAGAUAACUUUUAAAAAAAAAACAUUAGAAAAACAAUAAGGUCUUUCCUCACGGAGAGGAAAGACCUUAAAAAAAAAAUCAAGGCGAAUGGACCCUGGGUGAAAAGGUAUCAUGGUGAACAGUUCUGGAUUCCAACUAUUCUAACUAUGAGUCAUCCAGUCUGCUCUUAUUCCUUUAUGUGGUGACCAAGAGUCAUCCAGUCUGCUUUUGCUCCUUCAUGUGGAGUUCUCAGAAAAACAGC